rnacentral:rRNA from 1 species
GACGAGCGCUGGCGGCGUGCUUAACACAUGCAAGUCGAACGGAAAGGCCCUGCUUGCAGGGUACUCGAGUGGCGAACGGGUGAGUAACACGUGGGUGAUCUGCCCUGCACUUCGGGAUAAGCUUGGGAAACUGGGUCUAAUACCGGAUAGGAGCCAUCUUUAGUGUGGUGGUUGGAAAGUUUUUUCGGUGUAGGAUGAGCUCGCGGCCUAUCAGCUUGUUGGUGGGGUAAUGGCCUACCAAGGCGGCGACGGGUAGCCGGCCUGAGAGGGUGUACGGCCACAUUGGGACUGAGAUACGGCCCAGACUCCUACGGGAGGCAGCAGUGGGGAAUAUUGCACAAUGGGCGCAAGCCUGAUGCAGCGACGCCGCGUGGGGGAUGAAGGCCUUCGGGUUGUAAACUCCUUUCGCUAGGGACGAAGCUUUUUUGUGACGGUACCUAGAGAAGAAGCACCGGCUAACUACGUG